UACCACUUACUGCUGCAAGAAUCCAUCAGCUUUCUCAGGAUGUAAACCCCUUUGUGAAUGCUCAAACUGCAGGCACUGUGAGUUUCCAGGAUGAGACAAUGUGUGCCCACAUUUCCACAAAGAAAGAAGUUAAAGCACAAGGUGGGACCUCAUUUGGCCAAAGAUUCUCUAAUACUAUGGGCAUUGGACCCCCUGGGGAUCCCACAGGAUCUGAGUGCUGCAAGGCAAGGACUUCCCUCUGGCUCAAAGCAACCACCCGCACAUCUCUGAGAGAGCCUUUUUUUCAGGU